CCGUGCGAUCCUAAUCCUAAUCUAAUUACCCGAGCACACGACGCACCACGCUGCCCGUUUACAGACGCGAGAAGCCGCCGCACGGACGAGACGGGAGUGACGAGCCGCCGCCGCUCCUCCUCUGACGCACGCGACAGCAGGCUGCCGCCCCCGCCACUCCUCCUCUGAUCGACACGAGAGCGGGCCGCCAACGCCGCCGCCUCCGGUCGAUGUGCCACAACGCCAAGGUCUCACCUGCAUCUGCGCGGCCACCGUGGCCUGCCGCUCGGCGGCCUUCUACUCCAUGCCCUCCGUCGGCCGCUCCACCGCCCGCCACGCCCCGUACAUCUCCACGGCGCCGCUGGAGCUGGGGUGCUGCGCGGGAAUGUCAUUGUUGCUGCUGCAGAACACGGUGACCGCGGCGAGGCUGACUUCGUUUCUUAGCACGGUGUCCCGGAGCUCCUGCCCUCUCUCUCAGGGUAUCUGUCUUUUCGGUUUGGGCGAGAACUGCGCCCGUGCAUACCUUCCUUUUUUUUUCUCGCGUCAAUGGUUUAGUUGCCUGCUUUAGCAUGUUGAAGACUCUGAUGAUGCUUGUUUGAUCCAUAUCAUCCUCUGGUACUUAUCUGUC